GGUUAUGAAAAUAUCUGUAGAUAAAGAUAUAGAUAUGUGGUGUCAAACUUCCUAGUUCCAAGGAAUGAACUCCAAGAAGUAAGACUCUUCUAAUAACCAAGGGAUAAUGCAGAAUCACUUUGCCUGGAUCCAUAUCACAAUAAAAAUGAACAGCAAGAAAUUAAUACAUUGCAAAUGGUGGUUGACAGUCAUGAGGAGAGACCCCUUCUUCCUCUGUUUGCUUAAUUUUCUUCUAGAUUUUCCAGGGAGAUCUGUCAGUUAUUAACAGGUUAGAUUCUUACCUCAUUCAGUCUUCAUGUAGGCCUAGAAUUGAUGAUCAACAUCAAGUAGUUUUGACUGUUUAAUGUAAAACUAGAAAAAAUGUCAAGAGAUGUUUGUGUGUGUUCAACAGGGCGGCAAGAAAUGUGUUUGUUUACACUGCUUAUACACCAGAAUACAAUAUGUGAGAUACUAUGGAUUAUGAUUCACUUAUCAGCAAGCAAGAAAAUGUGAGUGGUAUAAGAACAUAGAAAUGUCUGUCCUAGGAUUGCCUCACAAAGUAUUUUAAUUGUUUUAAUUUAAAACAACAAGAAGGUAUUUUCCCCUCUUUUUUAUCCAACUAGGUAAAUAAUUACUUCUGUUUUCUUUCCAAGUAUUGUAUGGAAGGCAAUAUAAACAUCAGAAGAUGACUUCUUGAUUCACUUCCAGAUGGAAUAAGUUAAGUAAUUUGGAAGACAGAAGUCCUGAUAUUGAAUCAAUAGCCAUUCACACCACUUAGGAACAAAAUCACAGGUAUAUGGAAAUAAACGCACCUCUUAUUUAGAGCCCUCUUCCAAUGCCUUAGUGAGAGGGGAAGUUGUUCUUUAUUGGAGAAGAUUAUGUACAUUUCCUUAAUCUUAUUCCUAUGAGUGAAUUACUUUAGACAAAUGCCUGAAAGCAUUCAGAUUCAAAGGCAUUUGCCUCUAAUAGAAUUGUGAUAACCUGACCGCAAGUAGAGAGUUUCAUUCAUAACAUCCCAAAACAUAAACUGAGUUCUGUGAAUCAUAGAUAGAGACAUCGAUUCAUUGCCUUUUCAAUAGAUUACUACUUGGAAGUGCAUUUUAACCUUUUUUCUCUUUACUUGGUUUCCUUACAUUCAAAAGAUUGUUUCUACCAAAGUUUCUAAAUUGCUUUGUAUACAUAGUAUAUAUCUUCAGGGUGGUUGAUUGAGAUGGGGGUGUUGGAGAAAAGUAGAUUAGGAAAUGAUUUCUUAGAAUUCUUCAUGACCUUGUAUUAGGAAGAAAUGGUGGUUCUAGCCAUUGUGAGUAACUUACCCAGGGUUGAUUUUAAAACUUGUAAAAGGGUGAGUUUUUAAAGGAAAACAGGCAGAAAAGCAUCUAUCUUGAAAUAAUUCUAGCUUUCUUUUUCCUUGUUCCUCAAAAGUUACCAAUGAUGACUUCAAUUUUUAUUGUCCAUAGAAAUAUGGACAAUAAAAAUUGAUGUUGGCACAUUCAAAAUGAAACCACAGAACAGCAAAGUCCAAACCGGGAAGGUCUGGUGUUUACCUGCUGCUGCUAAGUCGCUUCAGUCGUGUCCGACCCUGUGCGACCCCAU
rnacentral:lncRNA from 1 species